rnacentral:rRNA from 1 species
CCUACGGGAGGCAGCAGUGGGGAAUAUUGGGCAAUGGGCGCAAGCCUGACCCAGCAACGCCGCGUGAAGGAAGAAGGCUUUCGGGUUGUAAACUUCUUUUAAGAGGGAAGAGCAGAAGACGGUACCUCUUGAAUAAGCCACGGCUAACUACGUGCCAGCAGCCGCGGUAAUACGUAGGUGGCAAGCGUUGUCCGGAUUUACUGGGUGUAAAGGGCGUGUAGCCGGGUUGACAAGUCAGAUGUGAAAUCCUGCGGCUUAACCGCAGAACUGCAUUUGAAACUGUUGAUCUUGAGUACUGGAGAGGCAGACGGAAUUCCUAGUGUAGCGGUGAAAUGCGUAGAUAUUAGGAGGAACACCAGUGGCGAAGGCGGUCUGCUGGACAGCAACUGACAUUGAUGCUCGAAAGUGUGGGUAUCAAACAGGAUUAGAUACCCUGGUAGUC